UGGGGAAUUUUGGACAAUGGGCGAAAGCCUGAUCCAGCAAUGCCGCGUGUGUGAAGAAGGCCUUCGGGUUGUAAAGCACUUUUGUCCGGAAAGAAAUCCUUGGCUCUAAUACAGUCGGGGGAUGACGGUACCGGAAGAAUAAGCACCGGCUAACUACGUGCCAGCAGCCGCGGUAAUACGUAGGGUGCAAGCGUUAAUCGGAAUUACUGGGCGUAAAGCGUGCGCAGGCGGUUUGCUAAGACCGAUGUGAAAUCCCCGGGCUCAACCUGGGAACUGCAUUGGUGACUGGCAGGCUAGAGUAUGGCAGAGGGGGGUAGAAUUCCACGUGUAGCAGUGAAAUGCGUAGAGAUGUGGAGGAAUACCGAUGGCGAAGGCAGCCCCCUGGGCCAAUACUGACGCUCAUGCACGAAAGCGUGGGGAGCAAACAGGAUUAGAUACCCUGGUAGUCCACGCCCCAAACGAUGUCAACUAGUUGUUGGGGAUUCAUUUUCCUUAGUAACGUAGCUAACGCGUGAAGUUGACCGCCUGGGGAGUACGGUCGCAAGAUUAAAACUUAAAUGAAUUGACGGGGUCAUAGCUGUUUCCU
rnacentral:rRNA from 1 species